CAUACACAUGCAAGUCGAACGGCAGCACGGGAGCAAUUCUGGUGGCGAGUGGCGAACGGGUGAGUAACAUAUCGGAACGUGCCCAGUAAUGGGGGAUAGCCCGGCGAAAGCCGGAUUAAUACCGCAUACGACCUAAGGGUGAAAGCGGGGGACCUGCAAGGGCCUCGCGUUAUUGGAACGGCCGAUAUCAGAUUAGCUAGUUGGUGGGGUAAAGGCCUACCAAGGCGACGAUCUGUAGCUGGUCUGAGAGGACGACCAGCCACACUGGGACUGAGACACGGCCCAGACUCCUACGGGAGGCAGCAGUGGGGAAUUUUGGACAAUGGGCGCAAGCCUGAUCCAGCCAUGCCGCGUGUGGGAAGAAGGCCUUCGGGUUGUAAACCACUUUUGUCAGGGAAGAAACGGUCUGGACUAAUAAUCUGGGCUAAUGACGGUACCUGAAGAAUAAGCACCGGCUAACUACGUGCCAGCAGCCGCGGUAAUACGUAGGGUGCAAGCGUUAAUCGGAAUUACUGGGCGUAAAGCGUGCGCAGGCGGCUUUGCAAGACAGAUGUGAAAUCCCCGGGCUCAACCUGGCUACUGC
rnacentral:rRNA from 1 species